rnacentral:rRNA from 1 species
GGGGGGGGGGGGGGGGGGGGGGGGGGCGGGCGGGGCGGGGGGGGGGGCGCGAGGUUGCUUGGGUGCUCGGGUGGCGAGCGGGGGGGUGAGACGUGGGGGAUCUGCCCUGCGCUUCGGGGUAAGCCUGGGGCACUGGGUCUAAUACCGGAUCGGACCCCACUUUGGAUGGUGUGGUGGAACGUUUUUCGGUGUGUGAUGAGCUCGCGGCCUAUCAGCUUGUUGGUGGGGUAAUGGCCUACCAAGGCGUCGACGGGUAGCCGGCCUGAGAGUGUGUACGGCCACAUUGGGACUGAGAUACGGCCCAGACUCCUACGGGAGGCAGCAGUGGGGAAUAUUGCACAAUGGGCGCAAGCCUGAUGCAGCGACGCCGCGUGGGGGAUGACGGCCUUCGGGUUGUAAACUCCUUUCGCUAGGGAAGAAGCGUUUUUGUGACGGUACCUGGAGAAGAAGCACCGGCUAACUACGUG